rnacentral:rRNA from 1 species
UUGAAAGGGAAACGAUUGAAGUCAGUCGUACCGACGAAAAAUCAACUUAUCGUGUGCGAACUUGUGGGCGUGCGUGAGUUUCGGCCUCGCUGUUUGCAUUUUUGUGCGCUUUGGGUGUACUUUUUCGUAUGGUAGGCCAACGUCAGUUUCGAUUAUCAUAAAAUGACCGGCGGAAUGUAGCUUCGAUUUCGGUUGAAGUGUUAUAGCCUCUGGUAGAUGUGGUUAUUGGGACUGAGGAUUGCAACGAAUACCCUUUGGGCUAUCCGUCUGACCUCUGAAAGUUGCUCAGGUGCCGAAAGCGUGCUUACGGUCAUCCGAGAUAACGUUCAACAGGUUAGAACGUGAUUACAUUCGUUAAGGAUGUUGACGUA